UAGGGUGACCGACUGCUCUGGUUUGCCAAGAACUGUGGUGUUUCCUGGGAUUCAGCACUUUCAGGGCCAAAAACGGGACGGUUCUGGGCAAACCAGGAUGGUUGGUCACCUUGUGUACGA
rnacentral:pre_miRNA from 1 species